UACAGAGGAGCCAAGCGUUGUCCGGAUUGACUGGGCGUAAAGCGCACGCAGGCGGAUGCGCGCGUGGGGUGUGAAAUCUGGCCGCUUAACGGCCAGGCGCCAUCCCAUACGGCGCGUCUGGAGUGAUGCAGAGGUCGGUGGAAUUGCCGGUGUAGUGGUGAAAUGCGUAGAGAUCGGCAGGAACACCCAGGGGGAAACCAGCCGACUGGGCAUCUGCUGACGCUGAGGUGCGAGAGCGUGGGGAGCGAACCGG
rnacentral:rRNA from 1 species